rnacentral:rRNA from 1 species
UACGUAGGGGGCUAGCGUUGUCCGGAUUUAUUGGGCGUAAAGAGCGUGUAGGCGGCCAGGUAGGUCUGGUGUGAAAACUCGAGGCUUAACCUCGAGAUGUCAUCGGAAACCAUCUGGCUAGAGUCCGGAAGAGGAGAGUGGAAUUACCCGGUGUAGCGGUGAAAUGCGCAGAGUAUCGGGAGGAACACCAAUGGCGAAGGCAGCUCGCUGGGACGGUACGUGACGCUGAG